AAUCCAUUAAGAAAUCAUUCAUUCUCAAAAAAAUCCUUCAUUCUAAAUCAUCCUUCACCUAUCUUCUAUUUCCAAAAAUCCUUCAUCCACAUUCCUAAAAAACACUCAUACACAACGAAUUCAUAUCAUCCAUAACAAUCCCAAAAUCUUUCACACACAACCAUCCAUCAACUCACUCAUCAAUUUCUCAUUCAUCUUUUACUCAACCACAAAUCCAUAAGAAUUUCAUCCAAAAAGUCUUUCAUUCAUCAUCUAUUUCCAAUCAUCUUCAACUAUUCUAUCAAUAAAAAAAUACAUUCAUUAAUCAUUUUCUUCCCUAAACAUCAUCUUCCACGCACGAUCAUAAAAAAACAACCAUCUUCAACCAAAAAACAAUAAUCCAAGAUCUUUCAUACACAAAAAUGAGAAAAAAGCACAAUGAAACUCAGGAAAAGUUAUAGUUGGAUUGGAAUACAUUAUAGAGAAGCUCCAAUUACAUGUCAAAGUCAUGUGUCUGAGUUUGUUUUUGCACACAAACUUCCUACAUGCCUGUUCGACAUUGGUGAACCUUUUUUGCACCACUUUUCAUGAGAGUUGCAACAUUCCAUUGUUGUUGAAAUCAGCAUGAGAGGUAUGUCAUUUUCAUUACUUUCUUUUAUAGUAGUUUUAUUUUUGUUUUCAAUAAUUGUAUUAGUAAUAAUAAUUAUCAUGAUCAUAACAUAUACCUAUAACUACAUCAAAAUAAAUAAGUGUGUAAACAAUAGGUAAUUAAGUAGUUUCUCACCAUAUAUCAAUUGAAAACUUAUUCAAAAUAUAUAUAAAAUAAAGAUCUACGAGUCAAUAAAAAAUGAAAUCACAUUACCAUAAUUAUAAGAUAUGAGAUGCGGGAUCAGACAUAAGGCCUAUGCUUCGCUAAUAUUAAAAAAAACGGUUUUUAAAUAAAAAACAAAAAAUGGAAUUUCUAAACUAAGUUUUAAUAUGAGAUGUGAUAUCGGGCGUAAGAGCUAUGCUUCACUCAUUUACAAAUAAUAAUUUAAAUGUUACUUCUUUUAAGAAAUAAAAUCAACCCAACAAACAAUUUUUUUCUACCCAAAGAACUACGUAGUCUUGAUUCCCAAAAAAGAUACAUAGGACCAAUAUCACUCUUGUCAGACAUAAUAAUAAAAUAAUUUUUUUGUUGGUAAAAAUAUAAUAAUAACACAAUUAAUAAUCCAUGCAAUAUAGUGGGGUACCGUUCGAACGGACAACUAAGGUGUCAAUACAUUCCCUAGUGUGUAAUCGACUCUCGAACCUAGAUAUCAAAUUCCAAGGCCCAAUGCGAUUGAGCCAAAAGAUUUUUCUACAUUUUUGACUGAAAAAAAUGUAGUGGCGACUCUAAUGAGGUCGUGCAGCCGGAAAUCGGGGCGCGAAAACUGGCGACUCUGUUGGAGAUUUUUUUUAAGAGACUCAGGGCAUAAACGUUAAAUGCAUGGAUUUUUAUAUUUAUUUUAUUUCAUUUUAUUCUUAUCCUUUACAACAUAUUAUCAUAUUAGCAUAAGUAUAUGCUCUAUACCCGAAGAUUAGAUUAGAAGGGACAUCCUCCUUGUCAGUGAGGAUUUUGGGCUUCACUUAGAUUAGCAUGAUGAACCACCUAGGUUGUUACCAAAUAUCAUGGGCCUUACCGGUGUGAACUAUAGGCUCCACUUGUAAUCCUUAGGGUAUUUUGGGUUUUCUCUCUUUGUGAUUGGAUGCAAUCUGGGCACCUUAUAAGCAGACCCUUUAAGAUGUUUUAUAUAAAGGCCUUAUAUCCCCACCUAGGGUUAGGGUCUUAGAUAACAUACAAAACCUAUUAAGUAUAUCAUAUCUAUGACACUGAAUGCAUACAUGCAUGUAUACGUACAUGCAUCCAAAAAUAUAUUAUUCAAACAUUCAUUCAUUUGUGCAUUCAUUCAAGAACAAAAUUUUCAUUGAUUGGCUUAUGCAUUUAUUCAUUGCAUUCAAAAAUAAAAAAAUCUCCAUUAAUUGACUCAUACAUUUAUUCAUUACAUUCAAGAAUAAAAUCUUCAUUGAUUGACUUAUGCAUUCAUUCAUUGCAUUCAAAAAUAAAAAAUCUUCAUUAGUUGACUCGUGCAUUUAUUCAUUACAUUCAAGAAUAAAAUCUUCAUUAAUUGACUUAUGAAUUCAUUCAUUGCAUUUAAAAAUAAAAAAUAUUCAUUAAUUGACUCAUGCAUUUAGUCAUUACAUUCAAGAAUAAAAUCUUUAUUGAUUGACUUAUGCAUUCAUUCAUUGCAUUCAAAAAUUAAAAAUCUACAUUAAUUGACUCAUGCAUUUAUUCAUUACAUUCAAGAAUAAAAUCUUCAUUGAUUGACUUAUGCAUUCAUUCAUUGCAUUCAAAAAUAAAAAAAUCUUCAUUAAUUGACUCAUGCUUUUAUUCAUUACAUUCAAGAAUAAAAUCUUCAUUGAUUGACUUAUGCAUUCAUUCAUUGCAUUCAAAAAUAAAAAUAUUCAUUAAUUGACUUAUGCAUUCAUUCAUUGUAUUCAAAAAUAAAAAAAUCUCAUUGAUUGGUUUAUGCAUUCGUUCAUGCAUUCAAAAAGAGAAAUUAUUUCAUUCAUUCAAUUAUGCAUUCUUUCAUACACUUUAAAAAAAUAAAUAUGUCAUUCAUACACACUCACCUAUUCAUAUAUUAGUAAAAAAAAUAAAAUUACAUGCAUUCGUACAUCUUAUACAUUAUAAAAAGAUUUGCAUCCUCAUAUUAUUCAUACAUCUUAACAUAUGCAUAGUCAUACACGUUCCUUGCUUCUCAUGCAUCAUUUCGAGUUUUAUGUUGCAUAUCAAUCUAUGUAACAUGAUAUAAAAUGUUCACCUCAUGUAAAUCAUGCAUCGCUAAAAAUUAUUUUCUACAUGCAUUUUAUGAUACCAUUAUGAAGGAUACUCAUAAGUUUGAGUUGAUUUUUAAGAAUACUAUAGUUAGACUCGACUGAAAGCAAUCAAUAUUGAACAAAAGAUAUUCAAGAAGAUAGAGAACUCUCAAUUUGCGAUCAAGACCACAUAAGCUACACUUGUCACACGAGAUAAUGCAUUACCUCCAAUCCCAACUAAAGUUGGAGCCCCAUUAAAUUCUCAUUUGAAACCCACUCAAGGCCAAGCCCAUCUCACACUUACUCGUGUUUCCUUUUCCAUGAAUAAAGAUUUACUUUGAAAUGCAUGUUUUUUAACGAGCAUGUACUAAUGCAUUGAUAAUGCAAAUUUCAAUAUAUCAUACCUCAUCCUACACUACACUUUACUAAUCAUAUUUACCUAAAAAAAACACAACAAAAUAAACCCAAAAAAAUUAACUCAUGCAUUACUAUGAGAUAUUCGAUUCAAAAAUAAAAUGGAGGAUGAUGCAAAUAUAAAAACAAAAAAAUGAAGUACAUCUUCAUGCAAAUUUUUUCUGAUGACACAAGGUUUCUUUGUAAUUCCCAAACACUAAGAAGACAUCCCUAGUCACCCCAUUUGAGUUCAUACAUCAUGAAAAAAAAUAAUUUUUUAAUAACCCUCAAUAUGUUAAUAACCCAGAGAGGGUAGUUUUUCAAUCGUUUUCCUUGACAUUCAAUUAUUAAAAUAAAAAAAUAUUCUUUCACGCCAAUCAUGUAACAGAAGGAUAAGAGAAUAGAAAAAAUGUUCUUUGCUUAGAGGACCCCAAAAAAAGAAGAAAAAAAAAUAAAACAAAGAAAAAAAGUCCAUUGAGAAUCCUGAAUUGAUAUAUGAGGCAAAAGUUAGGGCAAAGUAAGGUGCAAUAACAAAAAAAUGAACCCUUCAUGAACAAAGUCUCGCCUAAAUCUUAGGCCAUUUUUAUCCACAAAAUUCUCGUAAUAGUUGAAUGUCAUGCUAGAAAACUAUUGAAAAACAGGAAAAAGAAGAAAGGCGAAAUGUGGGUAUGGGAAACACAUGUUUUGAGCCUUAUAUCCUUUUCUUGAAACCCCUUAGCCUACACUACACCAAAUUUUGUAUUUUGUGGAGGUUAUUGAAAUCUCCACAAAUAAAUCAAACAGGGCGGGUUGAGCAAUUAACUAAAUAUACAGUGAGAGUUUUUAUUUAAUUAGUAGAGGUUUUCAACCUCCACUGUCAAUUUCCCAUUAUAAAACCUAAAUCCUUCAUUCUUUCCCAUUAUUUUCCAUUCUUCUAUGCUGAGGCUCUCUUGCACUCUUAGGUUCUCUUUCACAAAGAGGUUCUCUUCCACACUAAGGUUAUAAUCUUUUCCAUUCAUUUCGAUUUCUUUGUGUUUGUGCUCUUCCAUUCGUCAACAACAGGUUAACAUUAUAAACAAGUGCAAUUUUUAGGGAUUAGGGUUUUCUGUUUGUUUUGAUUUUUUUGGUUGAUUAUGUUUUUUUGAAUUUUCUCUGUUUUUGGUUGAUUGUGUUUGUGCUCUUCCAUUCUGUGUUUCCUUCUUAUGAUUUCCUUCAACAUUUGUUUGGAACUCUACAUAAAUAUUGCAUGAUUUUCAUUAUUGUUUGAGAGUGAGGAAGAAGCAAUAAGACGUGUUUCUUGGCAAAUCAAAUUUGAUGUGAAGAGAAGGAUAAAGCAUAACAUCCUUCUUGGCAAAUCUAAUUGCCAUAGGAACGUGCUUCGUACAGCUUGAUUGCACAUAAUGGUUUUUUCGUUAUUGCAAAUCAAAGUCUGUUGCUUUGUAUAACUUGUUUGCAUAUAAAGAGAAUUACGAAUGUGAAAAGAGGAUUUGUGCUAUUGCAAGCUUCACAUCUGUUGCAUAAUGGCUUUGAGUAAUUACGAAUGUGAACAGAGGAUUUGAAAAAGUAUAUUUAUUUAUGAACAAUAGAGUAAAAUACAUUUCUAACUGUGAGUUUCAUACUCAUUUUUAUGUUAACUACUUAUGUUGAGUAGAUAUUUGUCUUCUUUAUUACAUAUUAUUGUGACUUAUUACAGAGAGCUAGAGUGUCAUGGUACAAGACUGAGAAUUGCAUAAUAUGUUUAUAUUUUUUUGGGUUUGUUUGAUAAAAAAUGAGUUAUCCACUGAUUUUUUAUAAUAUUAUGAAUGAAUUUAUAAUCUUUUUGUUGUUAGCUUAUUUGAUAAAAAUAAGCUAAAUAAAUAUAAGAGGCUCAUGAAUUUAUGAAGAUCCAUAGAUAAAUUAAUUUCUGUGAAAGGAUCCUAUCCAAUGCUUUCAAAAUUUCAACUUUACUUUAUGCGACUUCCCAUGCAAAACCCAAAGGCACCAAUCAGAGCAUAUUACUUAGGUCACAGGUUAUCCAGGAAAUAACAUUCGAUUAAGUAUAGUUUAUUUUAUUCAUAUGACUACAAUAUUAUAGGCGUUAGAAAUCAUAUGAUGACUUUCACAAAGAAAUUGUGUUUAUGUGUCUUGUUUUUGAACUUAAUUUGUAUUAUGAAUGUACUUUAAUUUUUGCCUCAUCUAGUAUUCAAAAUGUUUAGGUAUAUAUUGUAACAGAUGACUACUUAAUUGGUUUAAGUCAUUUCUUAGAUUUUGCUUUUGAGAAUGGAGCUGUUGGAGAUACAAUUAGAUGUCCAUGUCCCAAAUGUGGGUUUCUGAAAUGGCAAACUAGAGAAAUAGCUUAUGACCAUUUGCUUAAGAAACCAUUUCCCCUAAAUUAUGUUAUAUGGAAUCUUCAUGGUGAAAAGCAAGUAUUUCACUCUACUACAACUGAAGAUGUAAUGUAAGAAGCUUGUCAUUAUGAGAAUCAAUGGAGACAAUGAUGAAUGAUGCAUUUGGGCAUUAUAGACAACAAGUCAAUAAUGAAGGUUAUCAGAACAAUGUGGCGCAGACGAAAUACUAAAUGAGGGGCCAAUGGACGAUCACAGAUUCAUUGACGAGUUUCUAAAAGACGGAAAUCAGAAAUUGUAUGAAGGGAGCAAUUACACAAAACUAGAGUUUAAAAUCAAAUUAUAUCAUAUAAAGGUUUUGUGUGGAUUAAGUGACAAGGCGAUGACUUUGAUAUUAGAUUUUUUGGGAGAUGCAUUUCAAGAAGUGAAGUUUCCUCCAUCUGUUUAUGAGUCAAAGAAAAUCAUUAACAAACUUGGUCUUAACUACACCAAGAUAGAUGCAUGUCCAAAUGACUAUAUGUUAUAUUUGGGAGAUGGUGAAAAAGACUUGGAUGCAUGCAAACAUUGUUGUAAAUCUAGGUGGAAACCCAAUAAGAAAAACAAGGUAGCAGCAAAGGUUUUGUGCUACUUUCCACUCAAACCAAGACGAUUGUUCAGGUGUUCUAAGACUGCAAAGCAUAUGAGAUGGCAUGCUUCAGAAAGCAAUAAAGAUGGAUUGAUAAGGCAUCCAAGAGAUGGUGAGGCGUGGAAGACUUUUAAUUUAACGCAUCCCGAUUUUGCUUCAGAUCCUCGAAAUGUCUGCUUAGGCCUUGCUACAGAUGGUUUUAAUCCAUUUGAAACACUUAGUUCUACCUAUAACAUUUGGCCAGUGUUCUUAACUCCAUAUAAUCUUCCUCCUCGGAUGUGUAUGAAACACACUUCUUUCAUUCUAUCAAUGAUCGUUUCGGGCAAGCACACACCUGGAAACAAUAUAGAUGUGUACUUACGUCCCCUUGUAGACGAGUUGAAAGUGCUAUGGAAUGAUGGCGUGGAAACUUUUGUUUCUUCAUCAAAUGAAACUUUUAGAAUGCGGGCAUCUCUUAUGUGGACAAUUAGUGACUUUCAUGGUUUAGGCAUUUUAUUUGGUUGGAACACGCAUACGGGUUUAGCUUGUCCUACUUGUAACUUUGAUGCAGAACCUUGUCGUCUUCCUCAUAGUAGUAAGUGGUGUUUUAUGGGUCAUUGUCGCUCUCUAAGUAGAAAUCACAGAUUUAGAUUGAUUCGUGCUCGCUUUGAUGGAAGCACUGAGGAACGAAAUCCACCAUCAAAAUUAUGAGGAUUUGAUAUUCUUAGGCAUGUGGAAAAUAUUAAUGUUACAUUUGGGAAAGGAGCAAAGUUGAAUGGUAGUGGAAAAAGAUCUAGAGAAGAACCUAAGCAAUGGAAUAAAAGAAGCAUAUUCUUUGAACUUCCAUAUUGGGAGUUUAAUUUGUUGCGUCAUUGUCUAGAUUUUAUGCAUAUUGAAAAAAUAUUUUUGACAAUAUCAUAUAUACUUUGCUCCAUGAUAGGUCUAAAUCAAAAGACAAUCUUAAAGCCCGGAAAGAUUUGAGAGAAAUGGGCAUAAGGUCUGAUCUUUGGCCGGAUGAUAAUGAUAGAUAUAACCUCGCUUUGUUUUCACUAACCCGUGACAACAAGAAGUUAUUCCUCAAAGCUUUGAAGAAUGUUACGGUACUAUAAGGUGUGAUCUUUGGCCGGAUGAUAAUGAUAGAUAUAACCUCGCUUUGUUUUCACUAACCCGUGACAACAAGAAGUUAUUCCUCAAAGCUUUGAAGAAUAUUACGGUACCAAAUGGUUAUGCAAGUAACAUUUGCAGAUGUAUUGAUGAGGAAAAAAAAAUACUUGUUGCUGAACCAUGAUACUGCAACCUUAGUGGAGUUUUGUUCAUUUCUAGAGUACUUUUUAGGAGAAGCUAAAACAUUAACAGAUCAUGUUGGAAGCGAGUCUAUACAUUAUUGGAUUGUCGAGGCAAUAGGUACAAGGGUUAUAUUUAAUUGGACGCUAGUCUAUUUGUUUGUCUUUUGUUAAAUUAUUUUGGGUCUUAAUGGAAAUAUUUGAUGUUCUAUGUUAUUGUUAUAGACUUAGAAAGAGUUGUCAAG
rnacentral:lncRNA from 1 species